AGAAAAUGAUAAAAAGCUUAUAAAAGCCAUCAAUCAUGGCGCUUCACUAAAUACAAAUCAAUUAAUCUAGUUUUUCCUAGAUUUCUUCAUGAUUUGUGAGUGAAAUCAAUGGAGAGGAACAAUAAUUACAUUAAUUUCAUGAGAAGACAUUCAUGAGAGUUUUGGAGGAGUGAGAAAAUACAGAUUAGACUUGAAUGUAAGUGUUUGAGUGUAUUUUAAUAUGGAAAAAUGAAGAAAAAGUGAAGGAAGUUGAUAAACAAAUAGAGAAAUAAAGCAAGGAAAUGGACAAAGGGAAGAGGAGAAGAAAGUUGAUUUCAAGCCUAAAGUUGUUAAGAGUAGAAGAAAAUGAUCUUUGAAGGUUGAAGGCUCCUCAUCUCAUCACAUCAGUGGAUUCGAGAAAGGAAUAAAGUAUUUAUUUUUUCAUUUCAAGAAAUGGCAUGUACCUGGGUGGGUGUAUUAAGGUUGAAUGUGAAGGAAACUUAAACGUGAAAUUUGAUGUUUGCUUAAAUUAUAUGAAAUAAAUUAUAUGUUAAUUAAGUGGUACAAGAAAAUUGGGUUUUAAAAUGCUUAAUUACGAUUUAUAUUUGAAUUAAAU